rnacentral:lncRNA from 1 species
AGGACUACAGGUGCACACCACCAUGCCUGGCUAGACUCAGGGGAAAUGUGAUUGCACCACUGCACUCCAGCCUGGAGUGCUCCCGGGAAAUGAAGAGACAGGGGCCUCAGGACACUGCAGGGGAAUAAAAAGAUUUGCUGAGAUGGAAGAUGCCCAUACCUGAAAUGACCUAGAUGAGCAGGCAACAGGCCAAGAAGCAGAGAACUCUGGGGUCCAUGGCGGAGCAACCAGAAGCCAAGACGCAAAUGUUGGUAGCAGGGAAUGCAGGAGAGAGACUGUUGGGGCAUGCUCAGGGAAGUGGCCAGGGACCCCUGUCCAUGGGAGGGGAGGGGACCUAAUUUCAAAAGCAAAUCAAAGUGGUGAGUCCUGGCUUCUCAUGACUCCAAACAAAAUUCCUUUCUCUGGAUUCCCCCUGCCAAGGCGAAUGGAGCUAUUUAGAGACCUGCUCAGGAAAAAACAGUCCUGCAGCCAGGAGGAGAGGGUCCCCAAGGGCAGACAGACAGGGCUGGACGGCAGCUGGAGGGGCCAUUGAAGGUCACAGGAAGGUCAUGGGGGUGCUGAAGGACAGGAAGAUGAGAGGACAAAAUAGGUGAGUGGGGCUAGGAAGGUGGUGAGGCUUAAACUGGCCUUAAAGCCGUGGGCCGAAUCUGGCUGGUUGUCUGCUUUCGCAUAGCCUGUGAGCUAAGAAUGGUUUUAACAUUUUUAAAUAGUUGAAAAAAAAUUAAAAUUUGGUAACGUGAAAAUUGUAUGAAAUUCAGGUUUCAAUGUGUGUAAAUAAAGUUUUAUUGGAACACAGCCACA